GCCCGGGUGGCGGAACGGCAGACGCGGGGGACUUAAAAUCCUCUGGGGAAAACCCGUGCGGGUUCGAAUCCCGCCCCGGGCACCA
rnacentral:tRNA from 1 species